rnacentral:rRNA from 1 species
UACGUAGGGUGCGAGCGUUGUCCGGAAUUACUGGGCGUAAAGAGCUCGUAGGUGGUUUGUCACGUCGUCUGUUAAAUUCCGGGGCUUAACCUCGGGCGUGCAGGCGAUACGGGCAAUACUUGAGUGCUGUAGGGGAGACUGGAAUUCCUGGUGUAGCGGUGAAAUGCGCAGAUAUCAGGAGGAACACCGAUGGCGAAGGCAGGUCUCUGGGCAGUAACUGACGCUGAGGAGCGAAAGCAUGGGUAGCGAACAGGAUUAGAUA